AGAAAGAAAAAAAUACAUAUAUACAUGUGUAUACAUACACACACACAGCUCAUUACAAUUUGCCUGAUUUCUAUAUGCUUUCUCGCUUAAGAAAUGUCUUUUAAAAAAAAAAAGGAAGAAGUGUCUUACACAGUCUCCUCAAAGUUUAAUUCCGUCCUCCCAUUUCCAUGUUAGUAACAGAGAAGACUACACAUUAGUGAAAUCUCUGUCCUGCUCCUGCCCCUGUGCUGCUGAGAGAAUGAAAUUCUCCGCAGUAACUCCAAGUCUCUGAGAGCACACACUGUGUGAAAGCACACCAUUCUAUCCUUCCAAAUGACUUGAAAGGCUGUAUUAUUUUAACAUCUUCUGAGAGGCACCUCUGUGUAGCACAAAUGACCUACAAUAAUCAAAAUAUUUUAUGUACUGAAAUAUUUAAGAUUCUGUACCGUUUAAUUAUUUCUUUUCAUUAUAAACCUCCCAUUGCUAGUUUUCUUAUUCCUCUAAAUUUCCCGAUAUUUGUUAAAACAUAUAAAACCAUACCUCCCCAUAGCUAAGCAGCUAUACUCAAAUCAGCAGAGGCCUUCAACAUAUACCUUGUCAUAAUACUUGAGUACAUUCUAAGUAUUUUUAAUGCACAGCCAAUUUAGAAAAGAAUUAAAUAGUACUCACACUGGCACUUAACCCCCGGAAGUGAAGGUUCUACAAGGUCCAUACUAUUAUACCUUAGAUCCCUCCUCCUUCCACAAUGGGGAGAAGCCUAAAAUCUAGACACCUUCAAAAGUAAGAUAGCAAUGGUAAUACCAUUCCUGGUAUUACCCCAAUGUUCAUAAUUCACAGGAGAGAAAAAACAAUGCUAACAGUAACUUUGUGAGAUAAGGAAGGUAUAGACCAAAGGAAGGCCCAUACUCCAGGAAGAAAAACAGUCAGCAGCCUCCAGGCAGCCCAAAUCUUGUAUGUUUGGGCAGAGAGAAAAUGUAGUUUGAGUCUUGAAAAUUUCUCUGACCUACUUUGUAUCUUCAAGAAAUCCAUCAUGUUUAUGAGUUUAGGAUGCUAUUUUGCAAUGAAAAAAACUAGAGAAUGCCUAGUAAGAAAAGGCUCUUUUUUGAACUAUGUAAUGGAUCAAAUACACUAAGCACAAUGUGAUCUUUCUACAUUAAAUUAUCUUUUACUACAUUCUCAAAACAUAAUUAUAAAGCAAAUAUCACAAGUACCAGUAACAUUUUCUAUCUGUAAAGAUUCACUCAGGAAAUUCCCCAGUGAUCCAGUGGUUAGGACCACGGGUUUGACCCCUAGAGUGGGGGAACUAAGAUCCCGCCAUGCCACAUGGUGUGGCCAAAAAUAUAUAUAUAUUUUUUUAAAUAAAAAGAUUCAUUCAUACGCAAGUAGAAAAUGGUCAGAAGAAGUGAAUUUUCGACUUUUUUUGUAAGAACUGUAUUAUCCUUGGUCAAAUCUCACUGCAAGAAACUCAAAGCAGAACAAUUAAAGUGUGAUCUUUAUUUUAAAGGUCCUAGUUAAGUGCACAUAAAACAUAAGCAUGCACUUUUAGUACAUUAAAAAAAAAAAAAUCAAAUAUCCUUGCAGAUAUUUUUUUCAUGUCGUUCCUGAUGAGAUACUAAUUCAAAACUUCUGCAAUGAUGGGGGACUUCCCUGGUGGUCCAAUGGCUAAGACAUCACGCUCCAAAUGUUGGGGGCCAGGGUUCAACCCCUGGUCAGGGAACUGGAUCCAGCAUGUUGCCACUAAAGAUCCACAUGCCACAGCUAAGACCUGGUGUGGCCAAAUAAAUAUUAAAAUACAAAAAACUUCUAAAACGAUGGGAUACACUGACUUAUUCAACAAGUAUCGUUUAACGCCCUCAACAUGCCAAGCCAGGUCCUAGACACAAGGGAUGAGAUAGUUUCCAACACAUAAUCCUUGCCCAUAGGAACUUUUAAUAGUAGGAAAUAAUAAGUGAAUAAAAUAUACAUACAAGUAAAAACAUCUAUGUUGUUUCAGGUAAUAAGAGAUCAAGGAAAAUACCAAGUAGGGUAAAUGAAUGACUAAAGUAAGCACAUUAUAUUUGGACAAGGCAAUGAAGGCAGGUAGGUCUCUGUGAGGUGGUAUCUGAGCACAGGCUUAAAAGUCACAAAGCAAGCUAUGCAAACAUCAGUGAAAGAAAGUUUCAAGCAAAAAGAAAACAAAGCAUAAAGGACUUUUUCUUUACAUUAAAGAAAGAAGAGUAUUUGUGUCUGUGACUGUUUGGGCACAUGAUAAAGAAAACAGGACAUACAACAGGAUCAAGUGGUCUGGAACCAAACCUGCAAUCUCCUCAAGAAAUCCUACAAUUUAGAGAUGCUCUCUGAAGAACCAAAGCAUAGUAUCAUAACAUCUAUUACUCUGAGAUAUAGUUCAGUAAAUUAAA